AGAAGCAGACUAGUUUACUCGAAGGUGUGGCGUGUUUUGAUCGAUAAUACUUUGCUGGGGACCCGGUUUAUUUUAUUUAAUCGUUCUUACUGGCAAUUAUUAUAGCCAAAGCGAAACAAGCAUUAGAUUACCUAUGCAACUUUUUAAGCGAAAUGAGCAUUAAAUUUAUGCAAUUUUUUUUUAUAUAUAAUUGCUGCUUUUUCUUAAUUGUUUGGUGAUAAAUUUUUUGUUUUUAUGUAGAUCCAGUUCGAUUUAUUUUACA
rnacentral:misc_RNA from 1 species